AUUGAACGCUGGCGGCAGGCUUAACACAUGCAAGUCGAACGCCCCGCAAGGGGAGUGGCAGACGGGUGAGUAACGCGUGGGAAUCUACCCAGUUCUACGGAAUAACCCAGGGAAACUUGGACUAAUACCGUAUACGCCCUACGGGGGAAAGAUUUAUCGGAAUUGGAUGAGCCCGCGUUGGAUUAGCUAGUUGGUGGGGUAAUGGCCUACCAAGGCGACGAUCCAUAGCUGGUCUGAGAGGAUGAUCAGCCACACUGGGACUGAGACACGGCCCAGACUCCUACGGGAGGCAGCAGUGGGGAAUAUUGGACAAUGGGCGCAAGCCUGAUCCAGCCAUGCCGCGUGAGUGAUGAAGGCCUUAGGGUUGUAAAGCUCUUUCAGUGGGGACGAUAAUGACGGUACCCACAGAAGAAGCCCCGGCUAACUUCGUGCCAGCCGCCGCUGUAA
rnacentral:rRNA from 1 species